GCUUACGGCCAUACCACCUUAGGCACGCCCGAUCUCGUCUGAUCUCGGAAGCUAAGCAGGGUCGGGGCUGGUUAGUACUUGGAUGGGUGACCGCCUGGGAAUACCAGGUGCUGUAAGCA
ensembl:rRNA 5S_rRNA 5S ribosomal RNA